UCAUUUAAAGACGCGUGUCUUGGAAUGC
rnacentral:sRNA from 1 species